rnacentral:tRNA from 1 species
AAAAAUUUAGUUAAUUAAUAACAUUAGCUUGUCAAGCUAAAAUAAUCAUAAAUAAUAAUUUUUA